rnacentral:rRNA from 1 species
GUGGGGAAUAUUGGACAAUGGGGGGAACCCUGAUCCAGCCAUGCCGCGUGUGUGAAGAAGGCCUUUUGGUUGUAAAGCACUUUAAGCGAGGAGGAGGCUACCGAGAUUAAUACUCUUGGAUAGUGGACGUUACUCGCAGAAUAAGCACCGGCUAACUCUGUGCCAGCAGCCGCGGUAAUACAGAGGGUGCAAGCGUUAAUCGGAUUUACUGGGCGUAAAGCGCGCGCAGGUGGCAAUUUAAGUCAAAUGUGAAAUCCCCGAGCUUAACUUGGGAAUUGCAUUCGAUACUGGUUGGCUAGAGUAUGGGAGAGGAUUGUAGAAUUCCAGGUGUAGCGGUGAAAUGCGUAGAGAUCUGGAGGAAUACCGAUGGCGAAGGCAGCCAUCUGGCCUAAUACUGACACUGAGGUGCGAAAGCAUGGGGAGCAAACAGGAUUAGAAACCCUUGUAGUCC